GUGGGCAAAUCCCUGAGGCAGGGCCUUGGUGGGGAAGCACAGAUCUCAGAGGGCAGAAGUGCUGCCAGCUGCACAGCAAGUGGGAAGAAGCUUAAAAUGUGCUGAGCUCUCAGCUGCUUCCAAAGUCAGGACCAUCUUUUAUUCAUGGCCGAGCGGCGCACACGCCGCUGCUUGCCGCCUUCUUGGGAUGCUGGCAUUAAUAUUUCAUCCUGGAGCCAGCUCGUGCUGAAGAGCUCAUGUCCCAGGAAACCCUUUUUUGGGGCCAGCUGCAAUGUUUACUCUCAAGGGUUCCUUGGGAAGAUAACAGUGGAAAAGCCACGCUCUGACAUGGUGGGUCUGGAAUGAAAAGUGAAGGUGUUCCUCUGCAAGCAUCAAAGCAGUUUCAACUUAACCAAAAAUGCUUCUCCUGGAUCACUGGGUCUUUAAAUCGAAAUACCUUCUCAAUAGAUGUAAUAAUGCUGGAGAAAAAGUGAUUGGAAAACAACUCCAUGUCCUCAGUGAUCCUUAUGGGUCCCUUCCAACAUGGGAUGUUCUGUGAUCUACAUGAGUUCCGUAGGAUGGAAGGGGAUGCUGCAUGUGGGAACGGAAGGAGGAACAGUUAUUUGCACAGCUCUUUGAGAUCCUUGAAGGAAAACCCUGGAGAGAUAUAAGCAGUGAAUGGAGAAGGGGAACCGUAGCUCUACUGUGAGCCAGCGUGGUGCCCUGUGAGAAAUGGAACCCUCCAGGUGAGACUCUGCCCUCUGAGAAGUGAAAAGCAAUUUUUCUGCUGACUGCACCUGACCACAGCUCCAGACUCCCCCAUCAGAUGCUGGGCCAAAGUCAGUGCUACAGCCGAGCUGUUACCUCACAGUGCAAUAAAAAACGAAAUACUGCCUGAUCCAGCAACCCCGUUAG
ensembl:lncRNA